rnacentral:sRNA from 1 species
CAGGUCUCUAAUGCAUGUCGCCCGGAAGUGUGCAGCGGUUCCGGGAUAACGACAUGCAUCAAAACAAAGAGCUAAAGCGCGUCGCAUGAAUCAAAUUUGAUGCGACGCGCUUUAGAGCAAUUCAGCAAAAGUGUGCAGCGGUUUUGCGCC